rnacentral:rRNA from 1 species
UACGUAGGGGGCUAGCGUUGUCCGGAUUUAUUGGGCGUAAAGAGCGUGUAGGCGGCCAAGUAGGUCCGGUGUGAAAACUCGAGGCUCAACCUCGAGACGCCGAUGGAAACCAUCUGGCUAGAGUCCGGAAGAGGAGAGUGGAAUUCCUGGUGUAGCGGUGAAAUGCGCAGAUAUCAGGAAGAACACCCGUGGCUAAGGCGGCUCUCUAGUACGGUACUGACGCUGAGACGCGAAAGCGUGGGGAGCGAACAGG